rnacentral:rRNA from 1 species
ACGAAGGGGGCUAGCGUUGCUCGGAAUGACUGGGCGUAAAGGGCGCGUAGGCGGCAUACACAGUCAGAAGUGAAAUUCCUGGGCUCAACCUGGGGACUGCUUUUGAUACGUGUAAGCUAGAGUGGAGAAGAGGGUUGUGGAAUUUCCAGUGUAGAGGUGAAAUUCGUAGAUAUUGGAAAGAACACCGGUGGCGAAGGCGGCAACCUGGUCUUCUACUGACGCUGAGGCGCUAAAGCGUGGGGAGCAAACAG